UUGAUGAUUUCCGCAAACAGCAAGAUAUUAUUAUUUGGCCAUUGAAUUUAAUAGUGCUAAUCUCCAUAGUACUUUUGACCUUUCGACUUACAAAAUGCUGCGCUUCGAUUUUUGGAACACGUAGAAAUCAUAGCAAAAAAGUGACAGGGAUACCGUUGUUACAGUGAAAUCGUAAGACCUUCGUUAUAAUAUAAAGAUAACUGUACACCUUUUUGAGUUCUAAAAUAAAUAACCAACAACGUAGUUAAGAUA